AGCAGCCGCGGUAAUUCCAGCUCCAAUAGCGUAUAUUAAAGUUGCUGCAGUUAAAAAGCUCGUAGUUGAAUUUCGGGACUAAUAUGUCGGUCGUGCCUCGGUACGUACUGGUUUAUUGGUUUCUCCUUUCUGAAGAACCAUGAUGUCAUUUAUUUGGUGUCGUGGGGAAUCAGGACUGUUACUUUGAAAAAUUAGAGUGUUUAAAGCAGGCUCACGCUUGAAUACAUUAGCAUGGAAUAAUGAAAUAGGACGUUUGAUUCUAUUUUGUUGGUUUCUAGGAUCGACGUAAUGAUUAAUAGGGAUAGUUGGGGGCAUUAGUAUUCAAUUGUCAGAGGUGAAAUUCUUGGAUUUAUUGAAGACUAACUACUGCGAAAGCAUUUGCCAAGGAUGUUUUCAUUAAUCAAGAACGAAAGUUAGGGGAUCGAAGACGAUCAGAUACCGUCGUAGUCUUAACCAUAAACUAUGCCGACUAGGGAUCGGAUGAUGUUAAUU
rnacentral:rRNA from 1 species